GAUGGCUGCAGUGAGUUGAUGUUGUAAUUCAUAGAAACAAGAUGGCUGCCGUGAGGUGAUGGCGUAAUUCAUAUAAACAAGAUGGCUGCCAUGAAACGAUGUCGUAAUAUAAAAGCAAUAUGGCCGCAGGGAGGGGCGGGGACAAAAAAGAUGGCUGCCAUGAGGUGACAUUGUAUUUCACAGAAACAAGAUGGCCGCCGUGAGGUGAUGGUGUAAUUCAUAUAAACAAGAUGGCUGCCGUGAGGUAAUGUCAUAAUAUAGAAACAAGAUGGCUGCCCUGAGGUGAUGUCGUAAUAUAGAAGCAAGAUGGCCGCUGGGAGGGGCAGGGACGGAAAAACAAGAUGGCUGCCAUGAGGUGAUGGCGUAAUUCAUAGAAACAAGAUGGCUGCAGUGAGGCAAUGUCACAAUUCAUAGAAACAAGAUGGCUGCCCUGAGGUAAUGUCAUAACAUAGAAACAAGAUGGCCGCUGUGAGGUGAUGUUGCAAUUCAUAUAAACAAGAUGGCUGCCGUGAGGUGAUAUCGUAAUUCAUAGAAACAAGAUGGCUGCCGUGAGGUGAUGGUGUAAUAUAGAAGCAAGAUGGCUGCCAGGAGGGGCGGGGGUGCGGCGGGGGAAAAACAAGAUGGCUGCCGUGAGGUGAU